CCUACGGGCGGCAGCAGUGAGGAAUAUUGGUCAAUGGACGAGAGUCUGAACCAGCCAAGUAGCGUGAAGGAUGACUGCCCUAUGGGUUGUAACCUUCUUUUAUAAAGGAAUAAAACGAGGCACGUGUGCCUUUUUGCAUGUACUUUAUGAAUAAGGAUCGGCUAACUCCGUGCCAGCAGCCGCGGUAAUACAGAGGAUCCGAGCGUUAUCCGGAUUUAUUGGGUUUAAAGGGAGCGUAGAUGGUUUGGUAAGUCAGUUGUGAAAGUUUGCGGCUCAACCGUAAAAUUGCAAUUGAUACUGGCAGUCUUGAGUACAGUUGAGGUAGGCGGAAUUCGUGGUGUAGCGGUGAAAUGCUUAGAUAUCACGAAGAACCCCGAUUGCGAAGGCAGCUUACUAAACUGUGACUGACAUUGAUGCUCGAAAGUGUGGGUAUCAAACAGGAUUAGAUACCCCAGUAGUC
rnacentral:rRNA from 1 species